UACGUAGGGUGCAAGCGUUGUCCGGAAUUAUUGGGCGUAAAGAGCUCGUAGGCGGCUUGUCGCGUCUGCUGUGAAAACCUGGGGCUCAACCCCGGGACUGCAGCCGAUACGGGCAAGCUAGAAUUCGGUAGGGGAGACUGGAAUUCCUGGUGUAGCGGUGAAAUGCGCAGAUAUCAGGAGGAACACCGGUGGCGAAGGCGGGUCUCUGGGCCGAAAUUGACGCUGAGGAGCGAAAGCGUGGGGAGCAAACAGG
rnacentral:rRNA from 1 species